rfam:Danio rerio chromosome 4, GRCz11 reference primary assembly.
ACUCGGCUAGCUUAGUGGGUAGAGCAUGAGACUCUUCAUCUCAAGUUCGAAGGUUUGAGUCCCAUGUUGGGCU